UCGGGAUAUAGCUCAGCUUGGUAGAGCACCUGCUUUGGGAGCAGGGGGUCGUAGGUUCAAAUCCUACUAUCCCGAA
rnacentral:tRNA from 1 species